rnacentral:rRNA from 1 species
GAUGAACGCUGGCGGCGUGCCUAAUACAUGCAAGUCGAGCGAACAGACGAGGAGCUUGCUCCUCUGACGUUAGCGGCGGACGGGCGAGUAACACGUGGAUAACCUACCUAUAAGACUGGGAUAACUUCGGGAAACCGGAGCUAAUACCGGAUAAUAUAUUGAACCGCAUGGUUCAAUAGUGAAAGACGGUUUUGCUGUCACUUAUAGAUGGAUCCGCGCCGCAUUAGCUAGUUGGUAAGGUAACGGCUUACCAAGGCAACGAUGCGUAGCCGACCUGAGAGGGUGAUCGGCCACACUGGAACUGAGACACGGUCCAGACUCCUACGGGAGGCAGCAGUAGGGAAUCUUCCGCAAUGGGCGAAAGCCUGACGGAGCAACGCCGCGUGAGUGAUGAAGGUCUUCGGAUCGUAAAACUCUGUUAUUAGGAAGAACAAAUGUGUAAGUAACUAUGCACGUCUUGACGGUACCUAAUCAGAAAGCCACGGCUAACUACGUG